UCGGGAUAGCUCAGCUGGUAGAGCAGAGGACUGAAAAUCCUCCGUGC
rnacentral:tRNA from 2 species